GGAUCAAUAUGUUGGUCGUGCCUCGGUACGUACUAGCAUAUUGGUUUCUCCUUUCUGAAGAACCAUGAUGUCAUUUAUUUGGUGUCGUGGGGAAUCAGGACUGUUACUUUGAAAAAUUAGAGUGUUUAAAGCAGGCUCACGCUUGAAUACAUUAGCAUGGAAUAAUGAAAUAGGACGUUUGAUUCUAUUUUGUUGGUUUCUAGGAUCGACGUAAUGAUUA
rnacentral:rRNA from 1 species